rnacentral:rRNA from 1 species
GACGAACGCUGGCGGCGUUCUUAACACAUGCAAGUCGAGCGGAGCGGCGAACGGGUGAGUAACGCGUGAGUAACUGCCCCCCUCUCUGUGAUAACCGUUGGAAACGGAUGCUAAUACCGGAUAGUGGUGUAUGACUCGCGUCCUAUCAGCUUGUUGGUGUGGUAGUGGCCUACCAAGGGGACGACGGGUAGCCGGCCUGAGAGGGCGAACGGCAACAUGGGGCUGAGAUACGGCCCAAACGCCUACGGGAGGCAGCAUUGGGGAAUAUUGCACCAUGGGGGAAACCCUGAUGCAGCAACGCCGCGUGCGGGAUGACGGCCUUCGGGGUGUAAACCGCUUUCAGCCAUGACGCGGUAGUGGCAGAAGAAGCACCGGCUAACUACGUGCCAGCAGCCGCGGUAAUUC